UUCAAAAGUAAGGAAAGUGCCCGCAGAUAUUCUCCUGGUAUUCAAACCUGGCAAAUACCAAAUUCAAGCAAUCCCAAGUAUAAUUUACUCCACACGAUUUAUACGAAGAUUUCAUAUUUUUUGUUUUCCAUUUUAGGAUAAUAUAUGAAUACCAAUUGAAGAUCAACGACGCUGGCGUUUUAAUACUUAGAUAAUUUAGCACUAUUGUUGCAUAUACUUAACAUUUUUAGACGAAUCAUAGACUCAGGGGCGUGGCAAAAUGAUGGGGUGUCAUAUUGAUAAUAAUCACGUUUCUCAAUGAGUAUGAGAACGAUUUUCUUUUCUUUUUGUUGAAGGAAUAUUGCAGCUUUUUCAUCACAGAAUAUGUUAAAUGUGCUCGUUAGGGCUUGUUGGGUAUGUACUUUUCAAUAAUAGUUGAAAAAGCUUCUGACCAAAAACGUAUUUUUAAACUUUCAGCCCAUUUUCAGCAAAACCCCAAAAUGUUUGACUAAUAGCAAAUCAUUUUUGAUGAACCUGUUAACGAUUUUUUUAGGGGAGGGGAGGGGAGGGAAGGGCUGUCGCGUCCUCCUCGCCUCCCGGUUGCCACACCCUGCCGAGACUACUUUCUAUUUCUAUAUACUCAGCUUAGAAUUUUUAUUACAUUUUAACUUUGAUUUAAUUUUAUAUUUUUCAUGUAUUUUGCACAAGUUAGCAUUACUUAAUAAAUUGUAACGAAAUCAAGAAUCAUUGAUAAUUAAAUGUCAAAUCACCU